rnacentral:rRNA from 1 species
UACGUAGGGAGCGAGCGUUAUCCGGAUUUAUUGGGUGUAAAGGGUGCGUAGGCGGUUUUACAAGUCUGUGGUAUAAGCCCGAAGCUUAACUUCGGUUCGCCACAGAAACUAUAGAACUAGAGUAUGGUAGAGGCAAGCGGAAUUUCUAGUGUAGCGGUAAAAUGCGUAGAUAUUAGAAGGAACACCAGUGGCGAAGGCGGCUUGCUGGGCCAAAACUGACGCUGAGGCACGAAAGCGUGGGGAGCAAAUA